UUGUUUUUAAUUCUGUUAGCUGCUUUGCAACAAUCAUUUGUCAAGAUAAAAUUUUGCUUGAUUUUAUAUGUUAGAUAGAGUUAUCUUUCUUUUUGUUCAAUGUAUAUUAUUGAAGUAAGAAGUUAUAAGUUGAAUAUAAACUAUAUAUAAUUGUAUUUGUAAAAAAUGUUCAAGAGGGCAUGAUUUAACCAUUGUACCAUAGACAAUCAAGUAUGUUGGUAUGACACACUUUAAUUAAUAAAUAAUUCAUAAGGGCUUGAAUUUACAGUUAUUUUACCUCAUGUUGGCACUUAAAGCUAAAUAAUUUACAAGGGCAUUCAAGGCAUGGUGAAAGACGGCAACUCUUUUAAAUGGAAAAGCUUAAGUGAGGGCAAAUAUUUAUGUUCCUGUUAUUAAAUAUACUAUUGAUAAAAACUUUAAAGACAAAAAAAGAAGAAACUAAAUUAUUUACAUAAAUAUUCAUUUACAAUAAUACACUUAGAUCGGUUUGGAAGACUUUUUUUUAGAAAAAUUGGGUUUUCGACAAGUUCUUAUUAGUGUAUGUAUAGAUUUCCUUGUUUUUACAACUUUCAGUUUCAUAUUUAUGCAUUUUCUUAUAGUGUGCUUAUAACAUCCUUAUGUAAUUGCUCAGAUUUCAUGUACACUGAUUGACCUAAGUAACUCAUUCAUAAAAAGUAUAUGAUGUAGGGGUAUGAUUGGAACAGUCAAAAACAAAUUUUGAUGUUGCUGAAUAGCUGCUAUGCAAAUUAUUUAUAAAUUACCACCAAUGGUGUACAUGUUUUAACCCUUUCAACGCUAUACGCAGCAUAUGCCGCAAUGAAAAAGGAUUUUUCAUUAGGACUCUUAAACCAUUCAGUUUUCAUUUGGGUUCUCUCUAAUUUUUCCUCGUUUGAAUCUAGGAUAUAUAAGGUCACAUUUGCGCUUGAAAUCCCGGCA
rnacentral:lncRNA from 1 species